rnacentral:rRNA from 1 species
UGGGGGAUAUUGCACAAUGGGCGAAAGCCUGAUGCAGCGACGCCGCGUGGGGGAUGAAGGCCUUCGGGUUGUAAACUUCUUUUGCUCUGAACAAGGCAUGCCUUUGGGGUGAGUUGAGUGUAGGGGUUGAUUAGCGCCGGCUAACUACGUGCCAGCAGCCGCGGUAAUACGUAGGGCGCGAGCGUUGUCCGGAAUUAUUGGGCGUAAAGGGCUUGUAGGUGGCUGGUUGCGUCUGUCGUGAAAGCUCAUGGCUUAACUGUGGGUUUGCGGUGGGUACGGGCUGGCUUGAGUGCAGUAGGUGAGGCUGGAAUUCCUGGUGUAGCGGUGGAAUGCGCAGAUAUCAGGAGGAAUACCGGUGGCGAAGGCGGGUCUCUGGGCUGUUACUGACGCUGAGGAGCGAAAGCGUGGGGAGCGAACAGG